rnacentral:rRNA from 1 species
GACGUAGGGCGCGAGCGUUAUCCGGAAUUAUUGGGCGUAAAGAGCUCGUAGGCGGUUUGUCGCGUCUGCCGUGAAAGUCCGGGGCUCAACUCCGGAUCUGCGGUGGGUACGGGCAGACUAGAGUGAUGUAGGGGAGACUGGAAUUCCUGGUGUAGCGGUGAAAUGCGCAGAUAUCAGGAGGAACACCGAUGGCGAAGGCAGGUCUCUGGGCCAACUACUGACGCUGAGACGCGAAAGCCAGGGGAGCGAACGGG